GAUGAACGCUGGCGGCGUGCUUAACACAUGCAAGUCGAACGAAGCACUUUGGACAGAUUCUUCGGAUGAAGUCCUUAGUGACUGAGUGGCGGACGGGUGAGUAACGCGUGGGUAACCUGCCUCAUACAGGGGGAUAACAGUUAGAAAUGGCUGCUAAUACCGCAUAAGCGCACAGAGGCGCAUGCUUCAGUGUGAAAAACUCCGGUGGUAUAAGAUGGGGCCCCGCGUUGGAUUAGCUAGUUGGCAGGGGCAGCGGCCUACCAAGGCGACGAUCCAUAGCCGGCCUGAGAGGGUGACGGCCACAUUGGGACUGAGACACGGGCCCAGACUCCUACGGGAGGCAGCAGUGGGGAAUAUUGCACAAUGGGGAAACCCUGAUGCAGCGA
rnacentral:rRNA from 1 species